ACAGCAACGUGGAUGGAACUGGAGGGUAUUAUGGAGUGGACAGGAGAGCACAGAGAUGCCACACCGGAUUGUGGUCAAGGGGGCUGUUCAUGGCCCCACCCUAGGGGAUGUCUGACUGUCAGAACCGUGCAGUGGAAGCCACAAUAAGCAUGAUACAGGCACAUAUAUAGAAUUCUCUAGGAAGAUUCCUUCACUACGGGCUUCGCUGAUGCAGGAUGCUGUUGAGGGGUCGCCCUGCAUCGGUGGCCAUGUUGCUUGUAAAGGAACGAUGUGUUUUCAGUCACCCUGUCAUCCACUGAAAGUUGAAACAAAAUCACAGUGAGAAUCUAUAGGUUGCAUAUCAAUUUUUUCACUGCAGGCAGAUUAAAUAACAUGUUCAGGCUGGGCAUUAACUAAAAUGUCUGAGAUUUGACCAUGUCUUCAAUAGACAAUGAAUGUGGGUUUUGGUGACCCAGUCCUCCAAGUAUUUCCAGAAGAAGCAGUGAGAGGAAAUUUUAAAUUCUGACAAAGAUUUAUUAAGUUUCCUCUUUGGUGGGGAAGAAGAGCUGUCUAGUGGUAUCUAAAACAUUCAGAACUUGUGAUCAUUCUUGUUCCAAGCAAAUACCAGUUCUCUAGGUUUAUUAGCCUAUAAGAUCACAGAAUUCCAAGAGUAUUCCUGAAAGUUCUCUCUUCUUCAACACUUGCACUCAUAUCUAUUCAUGUCAGUAAAUAAGGUAGCCUUAAUAUAUUAAAAUAUGUAUCAUGUAAAAAGGAAGUGAAAGUUACAAAUAUGGGAAAAGAAUGUGAUACAAAGAAGUGCAUUCUGUAUUUAGCAAGGAAACCAUGAAAACUCCUGAGAAAAAGCUAAAUGUAUGAGGUCACUAACUCAACAUUUUAAAUUCCCCAGUGCUGAAUUUUUAUGGCUUACAAGCAAUCUGAAAGUUUCUAGGAAAAAGUGUUGCAAUUCUGGAUUUUUGCCUGUCUUU